rnacentral:rRNA from 1 species
GAUGAACGCUGGCGGCGUGCCUAAUACAUGCAAGUCGAGCGAACAGACGAGGAGCUUGCUCCUCUGACGUUAGCGGCGGACGGGUGAGUAACACGUGGAUAACCUACCUAUAAGACUGGGAUAACUUCGGGAAACCGGAGCUAAUACCGGAUAACAUGUUGAACCGCAUGGUUCAACAGUGAAAGGCGGUCUUGCUGUCACUUAUAGAUGGAUCCGCGCCGCAUUAGCUAGUUGAUAAGGUAACGGCUUACCAAGGCAACGAUGCGUAGCCGACCUGAGAGGGUGAUCGGGCACACUGGAACUGAGACACGGUCCAGCCUCCUACGGGAGGCAGCAGUAGGGAAUCUUCCGCAAUGGGCGAAAGCCUGACGGAGCAACGCCGCGUGAGUGAAGAAGGUCUUCGGAUCGUAAAACUCUGUUAUUAGGGAAGACAAAAUGUGUAAGUAACUAUGCACGUCUUGACGGUACCUAAUAAGAAAGCCACGGCUAACUACGUG